UCCUAGCAUAUCGUUUUUAUUUUAUUUUAUUGCGAGAGCCCAGGCAGCCUGAGCCCAUUAAUCUCGAAAUUAUUUGGUUUUUUUUUUUUUUGUUGGUCGAAGAAAGUCGUUUUCAUUGUUUGAUUAUCCAUUAAUCUGGAGAAACAUGUCAAUGGAGCCAAAAUCUCUCUCCUCCUGGGAUUACCUAAUUCUCCUCUUCGUACGCCCUUCUCUCGCCCUUCUCUUUGUUCUUUUCGUCCUCCUCUUAGGUUGGUGGAUGGCGUGGAAAUUGGUGUUAGUUCAUGUUCCUUUGGUACAAGAAAUCUUUGGGUUGCGUAAAAAAACAACCAAACCCAAGAUUCCAGAGCGUCGCUUCUCUCAAUUCUACAACUCCCGUCAAACAAGUAAAAGUCAACAUUAGGAGACCCUCUUUAAACUGUUUGGUUUGUGUCAUUCACUGUUAAUUGUUAAAUGGUUUUGCAUAUUUCAAAUGAGCUUUCUUUAUUAAA